rnacentral:rRNA from 1 species
GACGAACCGAGCGAACGUUAUUCGGAAUCACUGGGCUUAAAGGGUGCGUAGGCGGGCACGCGAGUCAGGGGUGAAAUCCCACGGCCCAACCGUGGAAGUGCCUCUGAUACCGCGAGCCUCGAGGGGGAUAGGGGCGUGCGGAACUUCCGGUGGAGCGGUGAAAUGCGUAGAUAUCGGAAGGAACACCGGUGGCGAAGGCAGAUCUCUGGGCCGUAACUGACGCUGAGGAGCGAAAGCAUGGGGGAGCGAACAGG